rnacentral:rRNA from 1 species
UGCCAGACUCCUACGGGAGGCAGCAGUGAGGAAUAUUGGUCAAUGGGCUUACGCCUGAACCAGCCAAGUCGCGUGAGGGAAGACUGCCCUAUGGGUUGUAAACCUCUUUUGUCAGGGAGCAAUUGGCGCUACGUGUAGCGUUAUCGAGAGUACCUGAAGAAAAAGCAUCGGCUAACUCCGUGCCAGCAGCCGCGGUAAUACGGAGGAUGCGAGCGUUAUCCGGAUUUAUUGGGUUUAAAGGGUGCGCAGGCGGAAUGUCAAGUCAGCGGUAAAAUUUCGGGGCUCAACCCCGUCGUGCCGUUGAAACUGGCGUUCUUGAGUGAGCGAGAAGUAUGCGGAAUGCGUGGUGUAGCGGUGAAAUGCAUAGAUAUCACGCAGAACUCCGAUUGCGAAGGCAGCAUACCGGCGCUCAACUGACGCUCAUGCACGAAAGCGUGGGUAUCGAACAGGAUUAGAUACCCGAGUA